rnacentral:lncRNA from 1 species
CAUGCUAACAAAACAGAAAAUAAAGACAAACACUGUGGAAUUUGCCUGUAUUGCAUUAUCCUUUAAUAUAAAUGACAUAUAUGUUUUACAAAUUAGAGAGAUUGGCUUUGGAGAAUCAAGAGGCUGCAGAAGAUUCUUUUAAGGUGACAUUUUGAUUGAGUAUAUGGUUAGCUUUGUAGAUUGACAGUAGAAAUGUGCAGCCUACCUUUGAUGUGCUUGCUACCCACUAGAAUCUGUUGAAGAGUCCCAAUUUGCAGAAAGCUUCAGAUCAUUCUCAGAAGAUAUUUCUACAAAUGAUGUCCCAACGUUGUUCAAUUAGGCCUUACUGUUAAUUCACUUCAUUUUAUGCUACACUUAGGAUUUUGAUUAUAUUCUAAAUUUCACAUAUUCAUUUGAUGGGGAGCCUGCAUAUCUCUACUUGACAGUUAAGAACAGUGUUUAAAAAACAAAAUCAGUAAAGGAUGAUGACAAAUGUACAAUGUAGAAGAAAUGAACAGUGAACUGCUAUUAUUUUUGUUUUAGAUAUAUACAUGGACUGAUACCAAAGGCUAAAGCCUAAUACCUUAGUCUGCAAAGUUGCUUCACUGAAAAUCAGUCAAACUGCUCUUAUGACUAAGGUGAGAGGGAUUUGCCCUAGAGAAAAUUAGUAAUUGAGCUCCUGACAUAGGUUAUAGGUUUUGUACUGCAGGCUACUCAUUAUUUUGUUCACUAGGAUUAUGUUAGACUAAUCCUGAAUAGCAUUGCUCUAAAAAAAUGGCAAACUUAAAAGAACUAUGUGUACAAUAUGAAUUUAUUUUUUUCCCAAAAUAAUGACAUCAGCAACAAUUUUAUUUGCCUCUGCUAAAUAGAUACAUUCAAAAUUAGCUUAGUGUUAUAGUAAUAUUUUUAAACCUCCAGGGCUUGAAAUAAAUUUAAAGGAGGUAACUCUCUCCUUCUCAAGUUUCAAGAUGUCUUGAGAGUCCUUUUUUCCUCUACUAUUUUUCUUCAGUGGCUAUAAAAAUAUGCUCAAUCACUAUCUUUUUUCUUUUUUUUUUUAAAUCAUAGUUUGACAAAUAUUUACUCCGAAUCUCAUAUACAGUGGAAUCUGAAAACCUGUAGCAUUCAGCAAACCAAAAAUUACCACAGAAAGCAUGCUGGAAAAGAAGGCUGAAAUAAGUCAGUUUAAAGCACAGACAGGAAUUCUUUUUGAUGGUAUGUUUGAUCUUGUACAUCUGUAAUGAUUAAUUUAUUUUACAUAAUUGGAUCAUCUCCACUUUACAGUGAAGUUUCUGGUAUUUGGCAUUAACUGUUAGCAACAAUUUUUUGAACAGGCCCAUUACAACAGGUACUUUAGCUGAAAUACAACCAAACCCCGCCUUUAGAAAUCUAUUUGUAAUUUCCGAUCUGUACUGCAGAGCGUUCAUGGAUACAUCGGAAAGCAGAGGGCUGGAUUUCCCAGUACUGCACGGGGUUGCUGAAGAGACUCACACCAGAAUAGGUUGCCUUUUUGGUGUUGUAGCCAAGAGGGCAAAAGUCGUUGAUACCAAUUGAAGCAAUCUUGUUGUUAUGAAGAUAGACCACCUGGAUGUAUUUGUGUUCACCCAACCCACUAGGUACUCUGACAAGUUCGUUGUUAUUCAGAUGAAGUUCUCUCAGAUGAGGUACAUUGUUCAGAGAGCCAUUUUCAACAGAAGAAAUACUGUUGAAGCUGAGACCCAAUUUAGCCAAGUUGGUGAGUCCAGACAGACCUUCCGCAUCAAUUUUGCUAAUUUUGUUGCCAUCAAGGUGAAGCUCAGUAAGGGAUGGAGGAAGACCUUUAGGGAUGCUAGUAAUGUUGGUGUCUGCGAUGCGGAUAUAGGAAAGCCUCUUCAUCCCUUGAAAAGCUCCAUUUUCAAUGCCUGAGCUCUUGAGUGGAUUGGUGCCUAGUUCUAAGACAAUCACUUGAUUCAGUCCAUUAAAAACUGCCUUCCUCAACUUGGAGAUCUCAUUUUCAUGAGCACGUAUCUCCUGAAGAGACUUUGGCAUGUUUUCUGGAAGUUCCUUCAAAUUAUUCUUGGAUAGGUACAGUCUUUCCAGUUUCUUCAGAGGAGCAAAAGCUGCCGGACUUAUUUUGCUGAUUUUGUUGUUAACAAGGAUCAAUGCAUGAAGAUUCUUCAAAUUCUUGAAAUCUCCUUCUUUAAUUUCAGUGAUUUUGUUGUUCUGUAAAUCCAGCAGAGUUGUGUCAGGGGGAAGGUCUUUUGGCACUCUUUCCAGACCUAGGGUCAGUGAAAAGAAUAAACAAUUGACUUUGAAAUAAAUUUCAGUGACCGGUACUUUCUUUAGUUACAUUUACCUUUCAGUAAACAUUUCUAGGACUCAUUUCCUGAAGAAGCUUAUGAAGACUUAUUUGACAGAAUUCCUGUCUCUGAAGAGUUAAAGGGAGUUUUAUUUUGCUAUGUCAAAUUGAAAUGUAUCUAUUAACAUUUCCAUUAUGCUCUUUUUUGAAAAUAUGUCUGAGCUAUACCUUGAAUUUGUCAAAAUUAUUUCUAAUGCAUUUAACCCCA